rnacentral:rRNA from 1 species
UACGUAGGGUGCGAGCGUUAAUCGGAAUUACUGGGCGUAAAGCGUGCGUAGGCGGUUCGUUGUGUCUGUGGUGAAAGCCCCGGGCUUAACCUGGGAAUGGCCAUGGAAACUGGCGAGCUGGAGUGUGGCAGAGGGGGGUGGAAUUCCGCGUGUAGCAGUGGAAUGCGUAGAGAUGCGGAGGAACACCGAUGGCGAAGGCAGCCCCCUGGGCUAACACUGACGCUGAGGCACGAAAGCGUGGGGAGCAAACAGG